UCCUCCUGGAGCAGAGCACAAACUGUCACCGGAGGAUGCCGUGAGCACGAGCACUCUUAAUUCAUUAUUGAGGUUCGGAAUGAAUUAUUAACUGGAGAAAAGCAUCCAGAGCCAGAGUUGUCUGUCAUUGCAAUGGGAGGAAAGGGUAGUAACACAGCUAGGUGGUCUCCCUACAUCAUCACCCUCUUCCCCAUCCUCAAGGCUCUCCCAAGCCAUGACUCUAAUUCUCAUUCCAUCCCUGACUUACUGUUUGACCUCAGGAGAGUCACUUAAUCUCAGUUAGUGCUUAAGUUUCCCCUUCGGUGAGAGCCAAAGGGGCCUGGCUGUGCAGCCAGCACGCAACCGGGCCCGAGAAGGGGAUGCGUUGACUCAGAGCCUUCCAUCAUUGCUGUAAGGCCAACGGAAAUGAAUCACAGGCUCAAAGCCCCAGUGGCUUUCUCCAACUACUACCAAAUUAGCCCUUUGGGAUGGCUAAAUCUGUGGAAUGCAAUGAAGGGGAAAAGAUGGUUACCCUAAACUCAGAGGGGGAGGACCUCUGUCAACAGAGGGCAUGGGGCAGGGUAGAGAGAGAUCCAAGGCUGGCUAGAAUGGUUGCGAAUAGUUUGCCCUAUUGAGGAGAACACACCAGCCUGUUUUUUUGUUUUUUGUUUGUUUGUUUUUUUAAUAGAUAAACACAAUAGACAGUAUGUGAACUCUCUUCCAGCCCUUGACAUUUAAGAUUAAGGGAAAUUACAUGCAAGGUUGUAGAAUAAAUUCAAAAUGAUAUACAUAUAUAUCAUAAGACCUACAAGGGCGAUGUGAAAGAGAGCUGCACACAUGUCUUAGGCAGUGGUGACUGGUAAAGGCUGACAUGCCAAAAGAGCUGAGGCUGGGAGGGGGAAUCCCCUUGCCAUGGCUCCCUAUACCCUAAGUCUGUUUAUCCCAGGGAGAAGAAAGAUCUAUAGAGAUGAAGCCUAUAUCCCUAUGAGAACAGUCUAGAAAGGUCCUGUGUGGACAGCACACCUUCAGUACAACAGAAUUCAGAGAGGACUCUGACAGAGUAUGUUCCAUUGUCAUGGCUGUGGUCACAGCCCUGAAAGGGGCACAGGACAGUUGAAAACCUUGCAGAACCUGCAUAGUCUAACCAUUGUCUAGAAUAGCCCCUGCUAAUCGAAGGGCAGACUUGGAAUUUGUCCACAUCACCUUCCCGGGCAUGCUUGUAUGAAGGGUUUUCCAGGCACCAGUAGAAUGCCUUUGAGUCUGCAUCACUUUGCAGAUCAGCUCACCGCACCACCCGGGAAACAUCGGUAAUUGAUGGGUGCUUCAAUCACACAGAAAAGCCUCUAACGUUUUAUGAGCAACACUGUAAAUCUUAUCUGCAGCAUCCAAAGUGACUGAUGAGACAGGUCCUCUGAGAGACUGAAUAUCUCAAGAAUCUCACAUGAAACCGCAGCUUAUGAAUACCUUUGUCUUGUGACACUAUUUAUAAGCUCCAUGAGCCAUAAUGGGAUUCAAUAUAUAUAUGUAUUACGAUAAAACAUUAAAAAUUUGUUGGCAGGUCUUUGUACAUGCUUAGAAGAGAAAAGGGUUAUUUCUCGAUGUUUAAAAGGAGAAAAAAAUUGGGCAAUUUUUGAGCACUAAUACACUGUUUGAAGAACAAUCCAGAGAUGAGACAGGUAGCUUAAUCACUAAAGCAUUUGCCGUGUACGUGUGAGGACUCGUGUUUGAUCCUUGGAACUUAUGUUAAAAAAAAAAAAAAAAAGCCAAACAUGAUGGUUCACUCUUUAAUCCUAGCACCAAUACCAAGACAGGCAUAUCUCUGAGACUUGCUAUCCAGCUAAAGUAUCCUAACCAGUGAGCUUCAAGCCAAUGAAAGACCCUGUCUCCAAAACAAAACAACAAAGAAGUGGAUGGUGUAGGGGUAGUUGGCUACACUAUGUUGGCUCUUGGCAGGUCAAAUGUGCGCACUUGCUCAUGAGCUAUUUGGAUUCCCAAAUGGAAGACACACACACACACACACACACACACACACACACCCACCAGUUAAUUUUAAAAUGCCUUGGCUAUCUUAAAGGCUGAUCAGUUCUAAUCCUCCCCACGGCUAGCACACACGUCCCUCUUGUAAUCCUGGUUUAACACCCUCUAUAUUCUAUAUUUUAUCUUUGUAGCCUUGGCUCCUUCUGGGCGGCUCCCUAGUCUUUGCUGCCCAAGACGCUUCUGGACAGCCCUUUCGGGGGUCACAUUCCUUCUCACCUACAAUUUGGAUGAUUUUCCUCCUGCAGCUCUAAAUCUGAUCUGUCUCCCUCCGGAUCAUGGUGACUCUGUCUCUUUAUUUCCAUGUCCUAUCCCGUGUAAAGCUAAAGGCCCCGCCCGUCUCCCUCUGUCCAGCCAUAGGCUGUAUGGCAAUUCUUAACUACUAAUCAGAGCCAGCUGGGAACAGGCUUCCUUUAGCCUACGUGUGGAACCUUGCAAACAGGUUUUUUAGGGUGACACAAUUAGCAAGAGAACAUCAGCUGCUGUAGAUGGAACCUGAGGGACAUCUCAAGGAUGUCCUCUGGAUUCCACACACCCAUGUACACCCCCUACCCCCCAGCCCCCACAACACUAACAAAUCAAAUCCAUUCGGCCGUAGUGAGCACGGAGGAAGCCUGUGGUGGUCUCUGGCAGAAGUUCAGAUCUUAUACUUAGUUAUCAGAUUGAGACCUUUAUUCCAUCCCGUUGGUCAAGGUCCAUUCAAAUACAGACUUUGGCUUUCAGGUUCAAGUGCAAAUGCAUAUUUGAGACAAUCUAGAUGCAGUCUAGUUAUUUGCUUUUCAGUUUGCUCCUCUGCUGUAGGUGUUCAAGGGAAGGACAAUCGUCUCCUGUCAUCCCCAAGUCACGGGGUGAGGAGUAGAUGUGCGUGAUGACUCCUCUAUGGAUCAGCAUGGUCGAAUGAUGAUAACCCCUUAAUUUUCUCUAAUGUUGUUGCUGCUGUUCCCCCUGCUUUCUCCCGUGAGGAGCAUCGGCUGGCAUACCCACUUGCCUGCCUUUUGGUGACAGCAUCUGGAUUUUACAUAUGGAUGACUCUAGCAACCGACUGGGCUAGCGAUCUAGCUUGGGCCAAUCAGAAAGCAACACUCGUGCUCCAUCCCUGGCCUUCCUUCUCUCCUGUGGGGGUUGCUAUCGCUGUCCCGUGGAACAGCAGGACGAACAGAAGACAAGGUCUCCCAAAAGAGAGAAAAUGAUGACAUCAUCUGAACUGCCUUUAUAGAGAAACCUGUUUGGAGUCAAGUUAUACUUGGAAUGAAAAACAUCCUCAUGUGCAUAAUUCUUGUGAUUUUUUUCCUUCCUUCAGUUACUUACAAUUAACGUUUCCAAACGCAAAGAUAGGUAAGAAGAAUGGUAAGUGAAAGUCUGUAUUUCGUCUAAAUUCACCAGUUAACAAAUUGACACAUAAUCAUUAUCUCUUUGUACCUUCUAUUACCAUAUAUCUCUGUAUCUACCUAUCUCUCUCUUUCUGUCUGUCAUCUACCUGCCAACCUGUCUGUCUGCCUAUUUAUCUAUCCAUCUGUUCCAUUUCCUUUUGCUACCAUUCAACACCAGUAGUAUUAUCAUUAAAUACGUUAAAUUAAAACCAACUCAAUAAAUAGCUCAUCUUAAAAAUUUCUGAGUUUUUCCUUAAAUUGUUUUUUUUUAACCUCAUCUUAUUCUUUCCUUAAGAUUCAUCAGUCAACUUUCAAUACUGUUUGUUUGGUUUUGGCUUUUUGAGACAGGGUUCCUCUGUGUAGCCCUGGCUAUCCUGGAAUUCACGCUGUAGACUAGGCUGGCCUUGAAUUCAGAAAUCCACCUGCCUCGGCCUCUUGAGUGCUGGCAUUAAGGCGUGCGCCACCACACCUGGCCUGUUUUGGUUUUUGUCUCUUUUAACUUACAGCAGUGUCCUGAAUUUCAUUGUACUUUUCCUUUACUGACAUUGUGUGGUGGCAAUUUUAUGCCAACUUAAUGCGGGCUAAAGUCAUCUGAAAGGAAGGAACCCCAACUGAGAAAAUGCCUCUGUAAGGUAGGGCUGCAGGCAAGCUUGGAGAGCAUUUUCCUAAUUAGUGAUUGGUGAGGGAGGGCCCAGCACACUGUGGGUGGGGCCAUCCCUGGGAUGGUGGUCCUGGGUUCUAUAAGAAAGCAGGCUGAGCAAGCCAUGAGAUACAAGCCAGUAAGCAGCACCCUCAUGGAAUCUGCAUCAGCUCCUGCCUCCAGGUUCCUGUCCUGUGUGAGUUCCUGUCCUGACUUCCUCCAGUGAUGGACUACAAUGUGGAAGUCGUGUUCACAGAGGUACUUGGUGGGUACUGAGCAAGUGAAUGAACAGGCUGUUCUCUUCCGUCUGCACUCACACUCCUGCGAGGAAACUGAGACCAAACCCCAGGAAGAACAUUUUUCAAGGUUACCGUACAAAGUGAGUCUGUAAAUACAGUCAUCCUCCCAGUGGCCAAAGGGCUGAGAGGAACUGACGCCAGUAAUUGUGCAGAGAUGAGCCCUCGACCCCGGCAGGAGCAAUCAGUCCCCAUCGGAUGUGCACGGGGACACGGAAGAACGAAGUCCAAUGAAAUCCCUCCUCCCUGGACCUGCUGGGCUGAGAGCACGUGGAUGUGGAGCAAGCAGUAGGGGAGCCAGCCACCUCAUGGGGCGAGCCCUCGUGUAGAAUGAAGCUGAACUGAGCGAGGCUGAGUUGGAUGUCGGAGGGAGGGACGGCGUUCAGAUCAUCUUUUGAACUGGUGUGUCGUGCACCAGUCAGUGUCUCUUCCUGGACUUGCCGGCUCUCUGGAAACCAGAAAAUUCUCUUUCUUGUUUCUUCUAGCUUGAGAUUGCUUUCUGAUACGUUCAUCUAAAAGGAUCUUGAACAAUUCAGGAAGCUUAGACUUCACCCCACAGAUCAAAGCUUCCCAAAGUGGUUUUCUUUGAUCACUAGCCCCAGAAGUCCUUUAAAAAAAAAAGUAGAAGAAGAAGAAAAAGAAAAAGUUACACAGUAAAUCUGGUUUGAUAAUACUGUCUCCCAGAGCCUCCUUUGUACAUUAGUAUAGUAACAUAUUAAACACUAAAAGGUUCUCCUUGCUGAGAAACCCUCCAUUGUCAUUCCACAUCCAUUGUGAACUAUUUCCACCCUGCUCUGAGCCCUGGGAGGUUGACCGGAUGCUCCAAAUCAACAGACACCUCACCUUUAACGGAGCAAAGGCCUCAUCAUGGGGUCAGGUGAAGGGAAGAUAUUUUACUGUAGGUUCAUUCCCCACGGGCUGCCCAGCCCGGUCAUCGUGGGCUUGUCUGUGUCUCUCCUCUCUAGGCACAGAUGCUGCUGGGCAUUGCCUUCCAGGUGGAGUCCCCUUUCCUGCUCUGGCUUUCUGAGUGGUUGAUGGAGCCCUGCUGCUGGGACAAGUCCAGAGAAGCAUUGAACCUUCUUUUUGUGGCUUCACUGAUCCCAGCCUGUCAUUUACUAAGCUGUUCUGAGAUGAGUCAUUUGAGUGUGUUAUGUUUCCUUCAAGGGCCCGUUGGAAGUCGAAUUCCCAAUUAAUCCAUUAUCUCCUAACACCAUUGAAUCUGGGGCUUCUUUUUAAUGGGAAAUCACUUUCCAAUGGGCUAUACACCAGAGAAGUUUUGACCACAGGCUUUUUUUCCCCGGAGUCUUGGAAGGGUGGUGUUUUUGACUCAAGAUUCCAGAAGGGGAUGGUGGGUGAUGGCGGUGCAUGCCUUUCAUCCCAACACACUGGA